rnacentral:rRNA from 1 species
UAGGGAAUCUUCGGCAAUGGACGAAAGUCUGACCGAGCAACGCCGCGCGAGUGAAGAAGGUUUUCGGAUCGUAAAACUCUGUUGUUAGAGAAGAACAAGGACGUUAGUAACUGAACGUCCCCUGACGGUAUCUAACCAGAAAGCCACGGCUAACUACGUGCCAGCAGCCGCGGUAAUACGUAGGUGGCAAGCGUUGUCCGGAUUUAUUGGGCGUAAAGCGAGCGCAGGCGGUUUCUUAAGUCUGAUGUGAAAGCCCCCGGCUCAACCGGGGAGGGUCAUUGGAAACUGGGAGACUUGAGGGCAGAAGAGGAGAGUGGAAUUCCAUGUGGAGCGGUGAAAAGCGUAGAUAUAUGGAGGAACACCAGUAGCGAAGGCGGCUCUCUGGUCUGUAACUGACGCUGAGGCUCGAAAGCGUGGGGAGCAAACAGG